ensembl:lncRNA
UGGGGGGUGUACUCAUGAACACGCAAAGGUCUACUGGAUGCUGUGCUUCCACCGGACCACACUGUGGUAGAUGUCUUCCACUUGCCCCUCCAGACCACCUCCCCACCCUCCGGCCAUGCCCAGUGUCCUGCAAUGCUGACCUUUGUGAAUGGGCUCAUCCAAGGCUACUUUGCCCUGGCUUCUGGUCAGGUUCAGCCAAUGGAAGGCACUGGGAGCAGGAAGUUAUUGCUUCCUCGAACUUGCAGUGAGUUGUCUAAUUCUCCUAACAAAGGCUGCAGCUCUGACCAGGUGGCCGUAUUCUAACCACUUCAGCACUUGUGCCUUCAGGUCUAGGAGAGAUGAAGCCUGCUCACCCUGGGAUUCCUCACCACUUCUCCUGCCUCAUCAAAUCCCUCCCAGUUGAGAUGGCUUCUAAACUCCAUCACCAGCUUCCUCAAUGCAGAUGGAAAACAUUCUGGAGUUGUUGAAUCCGGCAGUGAAAAUCUCACCUUUUAAUCAUACUUCAUCACUGACGGGGAGAACUUUCUUCCAAACCUGGCCCUCUGCCCAGCGGGGUCCAGAGCCAGCGUGUGACUGGCGCAAGAUGGAGUUCUGUAAUGGAUUAACAGGAGAGUUGCAUUUAAUAAAAGCCAAAG